rnacentral:rRNA from 1 species
UACGAAGGGGGGCUAGCGUUGUUCGGAUUUACUGGGCGUAAAGCGCACGUAGGCGGAUUGUUAAGUCAGGGGGUGAAAUCCCGGAGCUCAACUCCGGAACUGCCUUUGAUACUGGCAAUCUUGAGGCUGGAAGAGGUUAGUGGAAUUCCCAGUGUAGAGGUGAAAUUCGUAGAUAUUGGGAAGAACACCAGUGGCGAAGGCGGCUAAACUGGUCCAGAUCUGACGCUGAGGUGCGAAAGCGUGGGGAGCAAACAGGG